rnacentral:tRNA from 1 species
CAAAGGGUAGUUUAUUAAAAUAUUAAUUUUGGAGAUUAAUGAUGAAAUUAUUUUUUCUCCUUUGA